AGAACUUCAUGGUUAAGCGUGCUUAGCCUAGAGUAAUUAUGGGAUGGGUGACUUUCCAGGAAGUUUUCUCGGAAAGUGUGUGAGUGAGGACAAAGCGCACUGGAAAGCCUCGUGUUGAUGUGUGGGGGCAGUCAGCAGUCCCUGUAAGUUGCCGGGGCGUUACAAAUGGUAUCAUAGCCUAGCCUCUCCCACUACGGUGUGGUUCGAGGACGAACCAGACGGAAACUGGUGGGCAUGUGACACCCGGGCACUGACGAGGGCAGGGAGUGAUCGCCGGUGCAAGAAGCAUGGUGCAGGGGGCACGGACAAGGAGCGGCUCCUGGCAGGCUUCGAGUGGAAGGGGCACAUGGACGAAUCGAACAUACACCGGAAUGAGAGGGAUCUAGAGACUGUAUAGGUAUGAGACUAUACGGUUGAAGGAUAGCUUAAAGGAAUUGAUUUGACUACUCAUAUCAAC
rnacentral:lncRNA from 1 species